UGAAACUAAAGUGGAUAAUACUUGCAGACUUGUAGGCAUUUCAUCCUCAGGUAGAAAACUUAUAGAUAUGUGAACAUUCCCAUUUAUUGCUUUGUGGUUUUUGUUUGUUUGUUUUGAGACAGCGUCUUGCUCUGUCACUUAUGCUGGAGUGGAGUGGCACAAUCGGAAGUCACUGUACCCUCAACCUCCCUGGGUCAAGUGAUCCUCCCAUCUCAGCCUCCCAAGUAGUUGGAACUGCAGGCGUGUGCCACCAUGUUCAGAAAUCAUGUGAAGAGAGGUCACAAAGAAGUCAUCAUGAACAAAGAUUUGUAAAUUGGACCACUUUGGAUCCUUCAUCCCCAUUGGAACUUUCACAGCUGAUACCAUGCAGAGCACAGAGAGCUCAUAAUCAGUGAGUCCUGCCAAACAACUGUCCUGCAGAAAUGGAUGAAAUCUUGCUAUGUUUCCUGGACUGGAGUGCAGUCACCACUGGAUUCACAGGAAAAUCACAGCUUACUAUAGACCCAGACUCCUGGGCUCAAGUGAUCCUCCCACCUUACCCUCCAAUUCCCAAUCCUGUAGCUGGGACUACAGGUGCAAACCAUCACACCCACAUUAGAAAUCAUUUUUAUUCAGGAUAGGGAAAGUGAUGGGGACUAAUUUAAUUACAAUGUAUAAUGACAAAUGUUACCCUUUGGAGGACAUCAGAGAACAGUAAAAACAAGCAAUUUAAUAACUUGUCUCUAUUUAGUUAACUAGUUGAGUGACUUUAGUUGAAUCUUUUUAUACAUUUUCAAGCCUCAGUAGUACUUUUAUUUUGGAGAAGAGCAAACUCUCUUUCCUCUCUACUACCUUAUAAUAUUGUGAGGAGGAACCGAGAAAGUAGAUGGGAAAAUUUAUUAUAAACCGUGAUAGGCUAUACCAAAUUAAGUCUGUGUUGUUGAGUCUGGAUGUUUAAUACUUUGAUAUUCUCUAAAUGGGAUCACA
rnacentral:lncRNA from 13 species